UCGUAUCUCUACAGUGCAGCUGUUUGUGAGCUACUGCAAUUAGAACUCCGAGCUCUGUGUGCGCGUAAGUACUAUACGAUGAAUCUUCCAAUUUUGCGGUUUUGGGAGGCAUUUCGUACAAAUCUCGAAGGUAUUUCUUUUGUCAGCUCUGUUCUUUUUGUAUUCUAAUCAAUUUCAAAAGGUCAUGAAGUAGUUUUAAGUACUGCAUCUCAUCAGUCCUGGGAAGUCUCCGGCUGUCGCACCACCUAAAUAUUAAGGAAUGAUGGCUUUAUAGACAAAGAUCACUCUACCAAGGAAUAUGUGGUUUGGCAUGGAUAGAACCACAGUAUUUUUCCGAUUCAACAUCGAUUCAAUCAAAGUAGAGCCCGUUUUGGUAAAGAAACAAACCUAUCCCAAUGUUUAAGGUCUGAUGAUGAGAACAUGGCCACUCCAUCAGAACAGCUGCUGGCAAGCAAUGAAUACGUACAUUAUUGCUACUAUAUCACAUUCCAAGUGUCUAGGCAUCGGACUCUUAUGAAUGUAUUCGAUAAAGCUCCUGUUCUUGACGAGGAUGCAUUUGUGGCCCCAAGUGCCUCCGUCAUUGGUGAUGUUCAAGUGGGAAGAGGAUCUUCUAUUUGGUCUGGAUGUGUAUUGAGAGGUGAGAACUUCUUGGGCAAGUUCACCCGUUGGGUCACGGGUCACUUACUAUUCACUGCUUUUUAAUGUAUAUUUUCAUUCUCUGGGUCACGAAAUAUACUGUGCUCGUGACCCAGGGCACGAAAUACACUGUACUCGUGACCAGAGGGUGAAAUUAACACUAAAAAGCAGUGAAUAGUGGGUGACCUGGUGACCCAAUGGAUAAACUUGCUUAGAGAGACGCAAUGUCAGUUAAAUGAUAUAUGCUUUGGCACUUUUGAAGAUUACAUGUUCUUUUUUUGAUGAGCUGAUGUUUUGGAUCAAUUCCAUUAUUUCAACUUGUCAUUUAUCCGCACUGGCUCAAUAUCACACUAAUUGCUGUACUUGUUUUAUCUUAGUGAAUGUAUAUCUUUGCACUUGCUUAAUUUUCUUAUAUAGAAACAACAAGAAUGUAAUGACAUUAUCAAUUAGCCUCUAACUGGGUUUUGUUUUCAGUCUUAGCUUCUCAGCUUCUUAGCUUUUAUUUGUUCAUAUGGAUUCGAUUUCAGUCUUAGCGAUUCUUGAUAGUUAGUUGUGGAUUCGAUUUGCUUCUCAGUUUUCUAAUUUGUUCUAGGUCUGAGCAUUCUAGUUAGCAAGUCCGAAUCAACCGAUUUUCAUGUCUGAGCUCGUCGUCCAGAUUCCUACUGCCUUUGAUAUCUAUCUGAGCUACUCGGGGAGCAUACCAAGCUCGGUCCAUUCCUCCCUGUGCUACCGAAUUGUGGCAGGUUGUUGAACCAAGGUUGUUAUGAGCCUCUGUUUGUGGUCGUGGUUAUUAUUCAUUGCUAUGACUGGAUUUUUAUAUGAAAUGUAGGUUGCUCUGUUUGUUUGGGAUUGGAAUUUGGUGGUGUGAUUGAUGAAAUUGAUGACUGAGUCUUGGUCAGUGGAUUUUUUUUCCUUUUUUAGUUUGUGGGGAAUUAAAAUAUGGUAGGUUAUUUUGAAAUGAAGUUGUAUCCACUUCUGCCGAGAGUAAUAAAGUUGUAUCUAAGACAAUGCAGACUCAUUGUGCUCUUAAGAGUGAAUCUUUGAGACCCAUGUUGGUUUAGAAAUUGAAAGUCCAAAUCUUUGAGACCUAAAUCUCAGAGCAAAGUUAGUAGAGAAGACCAGGGACCUGCCCAUUUUGAAAUGAAGGGAGGAAGAUUAAGGUGUUGGUAGUUCUUACUAAGUUCUGUUUGAUUAUGAGGUCUUAGACUUUUAGCAGUAUGGCAGUGGAUCCUGCCACGAAUUUUGGUAUGGUAUUUGUUUUGACUUUUAUGGAUUAUUCAUUUGGAAUGAUUGAAGGGCAAACUUCAAAGUAGGCUCUAUGAUGUAUGACUUCUUUAUGGGAAAUGGUUGGCAUGUGGCAUCAAAUCAAGCUAUAAUCAGCGCCUUCAAGUACUCAUGUAAUCAAUCUGAAGACAAUUCUAAUCUAGAUAGCAUGUUCUAUAUUUGAAAACCAGUUUAAUUAUACUAUGAUUUUGUAAUAUGAAGUUA